AACGAACGCUGGCGGCGUGGCUAAGACAUGCAAGUCGUACGGUAUGUUGUAGCAAUAUGGCAUACAGUGGCGGACGGGUGAGUAAUGAAUGGGUAAUGUACCCUGGACACAGGAAUAGCGUCGGGACCCGCAAGGGUUCCUUUGCGAAAGUGACGGUAAUACCUGAUGAAGACGUCGGAAGGAUGCUUUCGACGUUCAAAGGGCGGGGACCUUCGGGCCUGCCGGUCUGGGAUCAGCCCAUCUCCUAUCAGCUAGUUGGUGAGGUAACGGCCCACCAAGGCAUCGACGGGUAGCCGGUCCUGAGAGGAUGGUCGGCCGACAUCGGAACUGAGACACUGUCCGGACACCUACGGUGGCUGCAGUAACGAAUAAAUCCGCAAUGGGCGAAAGCCUGACUGUGCGACGCCGCGUGCAGGA
rnacentral:rRNA from 1 species